UGAGCAACCUGCCCUUGGCUUCGGGAUAACUCCGGGAAACCGGGGCUAAUACCGGAUGUGACACGCCCGCGCAUGGGGGUGUGUGGAAAGAUUUAUUGGCCAGGGAUGGGCUCGCGGCCUAUCAGCUUGUUGGUGGGGUGAUGGCCUACCAAGACGACGACGGGUAGCCGGCCUGAGAGGGUGACCGGCCACACUGGGACUGAGACACGGCCCAGACUCCUACGGGAGGCA
rnacentral:rRNA from 1 species